AUGAAGAGAACAGUGGCUUUUAUUGCUCUACUGAUGCUGCUGCUGCAGAUCAGCCUGCAACAAACUGAAGCUGCUGCUGAUUCUCUGAAGCCAUCCAACCCCUCUGAUGAUCUGAAGCAUCUGAAAGACAUUGUGUAUCAGCAGGGUACCAUGCUGGUGGAGCUAAAGACUGAGAUGAAAUACGUGGAAAAGGAGAACUCAGUGCUGAAGACCAAAAUGGCCAAGCAGAUCAAGCAGGGCAAACAGAUUCAGGGUAACAUGGAAGAAAUAAAGAAAAAUGUUUCAGAAGGGAAGUUCGUACUAACGAGUGAAGUGGAGAAGCUGAAGAAACAGAAUGAAGGUAAAUUAAUGUGAAAGUUUUUUAUUCUGUGUUCUCUAAUGAUUCAUUGCUAAUAAUACUCCUGGUGUCUGAUGACUUUUCCACAAACAGAAAUAAGAACUGCAUUAGCGGCCAGUCAGACUGAAGUGAAAACCCUGAAGAAAGAGAACACAGGUAAAACACUACAGUAUCAAAUCAAAACCAUUAAAAAAACGCAACAUAUAGAAUGUUGCUAAAUUAAACUGAGGCUGAAAGCAAAGACUCUUAAAUUUACUGUUUUUAAAGUUAAGGAAUCUUACAAAAAAUCUUUUUAAUUUGGCUUGUUGCCUCCCAACCUUAAGUUUGUUCUUAUAGCUGCAGUGAAUCUAAAAAUGACUUAUUUGUAUUUUUUUCUUGCCAAAAUUUCGUAAUCAUGCAUGAGUUUUGAUUGUGCCAAAUUGUGCAGAAUGUUUGAAUAGGAACCCAGCUAAUAAGUAGUGUCCUCUAUCUAUAUAUCUACACUGUAAUAAAAUGUCCUGCACAAUUACA
rnacentral:lncRNA from 1 species